CCCUUAGAUGUCCUGGGCCGCACGCGCGCUACACUGAGUGUCUGAGAUACGAGUCUGCCUGGUCCGGCAAGGUCUAGGUAAUCGCUAAAAGACACAUCAUGCUUGGGAUAGAUUAUUGCAAAGAUUAAUCUUGAACGAGGAAUUCCUAGUAAGCGCAAGUCAACAGCUUGCGUUGAUUACGUCCCUGCCCUUUGUACACACCGCCCGUCGCUACUACUGAUUGGAUGUUUAAGCGAGGUUCUCGAACUGCUAGCGACUUAGCUUCGGUGAGGUCGCAGUGUGGGAAGUGAACCUAGCUUUGGUGUCUAGAGGAAGUAAAAGUCGUAACA
rnacentral:rRNA from 1 species